rnacentral:lncRNA from 1 species
UAACACUCUCCAGUUGGAUUUACUCUAAGAACCUUCAUGGUUUAGAAGAUAUGACUAUCUAAAGUUCAGUGCACAAAAAGAGUUCAAGUUUGGCAGAUUCAGAACAUAAAUCGGAAAAACCACUUUAAGCUUCACCAAAAAUUCUAAAACUGAACAAGUAAGUUCCCAACAUGUCAGUGAAUAUUCAGUAGAAAGAUAGGCUUGAGAAUCAAAUAUUUAAGUCGGCCUUUUCCACCUCAAAGUCGUAGGUUUGUAAAAUCUACUGGAUGGUACAUGGAAUAAGAACUAGAUUUCAAGAAUUUAUACCGGUUGUUUCCCUUACUCAAAAAUGGUGAGGCCGAUGUCAAAAGAAAGAUACGGGAGUCUAGAGUGACAUAUUCAAGUUUCAAAGGUUUUCACCGAUUGAAACUUUACUUAUGAUCUCCCAAAGAUUGUUUACCAAAAAUGUAUUCCAGAUGGGCAGUGAUGUUUACAAUUUCAUAAAUAAAUCAUACGAGCUCUAAAUAUUCUGAAAUUUUACCAAAAUAUAGAAAAUGUAUGAAAGAUGAUACACAAUUAAUUUGAGAAUUUUUGGGAACCGUUUGGAUGAUAUGCAACUGAAUUCAAAAUAAAGAAGCUUAGUAUAUACCUCUUCAAGUUACAAUUUGGAGUUGGAGGAAACUCUCUCUCCCUUUCUCAACUUCUUCUACACGUUUUGGUGAGGGAGAAAAGACUUGAUGGCUGG